UUUGAGUCUUUUUGUUAUUCUUGACUUGGGUAUUUCUUUCAAGUGAAAAAAUUGAGUUUUGUCUUUCUUGAUUUGGGUAUUUCUUAAAAGUGAAAAAGAUUGAGUCUUUUUGUUAUUCUUGAUUUGGGUAUUUGUGUUCCUUUGAGUUUGCGUUUUAAGAGCUUGUGGGUGUGUGAUUUAGUGAUUUUGGAUUGGAUAAAAUGGAGGAAAAAUAUGAGCUUUUGAAGGAACUUGGUGCUGGGAAUUUUGGAGUAGCAAGGUUAGUUAAGGAUAAGAAGACAAAGGAGCUUUUAGCUGUCAAAUAUAUAGAAAGAGGGAAAAAGAUUGAUGAGAAUGUG
rnacentral:misc_RNA from 1 species